rnacentral:lncRNA from 1 species
UGACAUUGGACCAACUAAGAAUGCAAAGGUAGGCAGAUAAGCUCACAUAAAUAAAAAAACCAUUAGCAUCUAUCUCCAAGCACUUCUGGAUAAAGCUGCAUGAUUUAACUUGGUUGGUACCCAUAAAGCUCCUUCUUGUGUCCAAACAUAUAUCCAUGGCCAAAUAAAAAUAAGUACCAUCUCAAUUUUUGUUUCUUAUUUUGGUAGAUUUUUUUGAGAUACCUUCAUUACCAUGCAGAUUAAUAAACAAAUAAGUUCAAUGGAUAUAAGAUCUAAAAAACACAAACACCACAAAAUUCUGAGAUUCUAACUGGUCAUUUGAAUGUAUGACAAGUUGACAACAUACAACAGUUAAAUGAUAAGGAGACAUAUGCAGUUUUAAUAAGUUCUUAUAAAAUAAAGCAUUCCAGCUAGAUCAUGAGACAAUGUACAUUUUAGAUUUCAGAAUUAGGCAAUACUCAGUGUGUUCAAAAAAAGUCAACAUGCACAGGAUUCCAACCCAAAGGACAAGCCACCAAAUAAAAUUUAAAGAAGACAACUAAUGAGGGAGGCAAAUUUCUUGCAGGUUACUAGAAAACAAACUAAAACAGA